rnacentral:rRNA from 1 species
AACGAACGCUGGCGGCAGGCUUAACACAUGCAAGUCGAACGGGCCCUUCGGGUCAGUGGCAGACGGGUGAGUAACACGUGGGAACGUGCCCUUCAGUUCGGAAUAACCCAGGGAAACUUGGGCUAAUACCGGAUACGCCCUUUUGGGGAAAGAUUUAUCGCUGAAGGAUCGGCCCGCGUCUGAUUAGCUAGUUGGUGGGGUAAAGGCUCACCAAGGCGACGAUCAGUAGCUGGUCUGAGAGGAUGAUCAGCCACACUGGGACUGAGACACGGCCCAGACUCCUACGGGAGGCAGCAGUGGGGAAUAUUGGACAAUGGGCGCAAGCCUGAUCCAGCCAUGCCGCGUGAGUGAUGAAGGCCUUAGGGUUGUAAAGCUCUUUCGGCGGGGACGAUAAUGACGGUACCCGCAGAAGAAGCCCCGGCUAACUUCGUGCCAGCAGCCGCCGUAAGAC